rnacentral:rRNA from 1 species
GAUGAACGCUGGCGGCGUGCCUAAUACAUGCAAGUCGAGCGAACGGACGAGAAGCUUGCUUUUCUGAUGUUAGCGGCGGACGGGUGAGUAACACGUGCAUAACCUACCUAUAAUACUGGGAUAACUUCGGGAAACCGGAGCUAAUACCGGAGAAUAUUUUGAACCGCAUGGUUCAAAAGUGAAAGACGGUUUUGCUGUCACUUUUAGAUGGAUCCGCGCUGCAUUAGCUAGUUGGUAAGGUAACGGCUUACCAAGGCAACGAUGCAUAGCCGACCUGAGAGGGUGAUCGGCCACACUGGAACUGAGACACGGUCCAGACUCCUACGGGAGGCAGCAGUAGGGAAUCUUCCGCAAUGGGCGAAAGCCUGACGGAGCAACGCCGCGUGAGUGAUGAAGGUCUUCGGAUCGUAAAACUCUGUUAUUAGGGAAGAAAAUAUGUGUAAGUAACUGUGCACAUCUUGACGGUACCUAAUCAGAAAGCCCCGGCUAACUACGUG